rnacentral:rRNA from 1 species
UACGGAGGGGGCUAGCGUUGUUCGGAAUUACUGGGCGUAAAGCGCACGUAGGCGGCUUUGCAAGUUAGAGGUGAAAGCCCGGGGCUCAACUCCGGAAUUGCCUUUAAAACUGCAUCGCUAGAAUUGUGGAGAGGUAAGUGGAAUUCCGAGUGUAGAGGUGAAAUUCGUAGAUAUUCGGAAGAACACCAGUGGCGAAGGUGACUUACUGGACACAUAUUGACGCUGAGGCGCGAAAGCGUGGGGAGCAAACAGG